UCCAGCUUAUCGCUGGCGGUCUCCUGCGAGUGCCCAACUAAAUGAUGGCAACACAGGACAAGGGUUGCGCUCGUUGCGGGACUUAACCCAACAUCUCACGACACGAGCUGACGACAGCCAUGCGGCACCUGUGUUCCGGCCCAUUGCUGAGAGGGAUCCAUCUCUGGAAACCGUCCGGACAUGUCAAGAGCUGGUAAGGUUCUUCGCGUUGCGUCGAAUUAAACCACAUGCUCCACCGCUUGUGCGGGCCCCCGUCAAUUUCUUUGAGUUUUAAUCUUGCGACCGUACUCCCCAGGCGGCACGUUUAACGUGUUAGCUCCGGCGCAGAAGGGGUCGAAUCCUCCCACACCAAACGUGCACCGUUUACUGCCAGGACUAC
rnacentral:misc_RNA from 1 species